AUGCCCAGUGAUUAUAAAAAGACGCGUUAUUCUGAGGAAUACAACCUGCUACCAGUCUUUCUUCUACCGUGUACUCUGUCUUUGAUCUCCAUCUUUCUUAUCCUUCCUCCACUCCUUCUCCUCUUCUCUUCAAACUGGCAGCUGGUCCGCUGACUGCGAUUAUGAGAUAUGAGGGCAU
rnacentral:snoRNA from 1 species